AUUGAACGCUGGCGGCAUGCCUUACACAUGCAAGUCGAACGGUAACGGGCCUUCGGGUGCCGACGAGUGGCGAACGGGUGAGUAAUACAUCGGAACGUGCCCGAUCGUGGGGGAUAACGAGGCGAAAGCUUUGCUAAUACCCCAUACGAUCUACGGAUGAAAGCAGGGGACCGCAAGGCCUUGCGCGGACGGAGCGGCCGAUGGCAGAUUAGGUAGUUGGUGGGAUAAAAGCUUACCAAGCCGACGAUCUGUAGCUGGUCUGAGAGGAUGAUCAGCCACACUGGGACUGAGACACGGCCCAGACUCCUACGGGAGGCAGCAGUGGGGAAUUUUGGACAAUGGGCGCAAGCCUGAUCCAGCCAUGCCGCGUGCAGGAUGAAGGCCUUCGGGUUGUAAACUGCUUUUGUACGGAACGAAAAGCCUUCUUUUAAUACAGGAGGGUCAUGACGGUACCGUAAGAAUAAGCACCGGCUAACUACGUG
rnacentral:rRNA from 1 species